rnacentral:rRNA from 1 species
AUUGAACGCUGGCGGCAUGCCUUACACAUGCAAGUCGAACGGCAGCGGGGACUUCGGUCCGCCGGCGAGUGGCGAACGGGUGAGUAAUGUAUCGGAACGUACCAUUGAGUGGGGGAUAACGUAGCGAAAGUUACGCUAAUACCGCAUAUUCUCUCCGGAGGAAAGCAGGGGACCGCAAGGCCUUGCGCUCUUUGAGCGGCCGAUAUCAGAUUAGCUAGUUGGUGAGGUAAAGGCUCACCAAGGCGACGAUCUGUAGCGGGUCUGAGAGGAUGAUCCGCCACACUGGAACGGAGACACGGUCCAGACGCCGACGGGAGGCAGCAGUGGGGAAUUUUGGACAAUGGGGGCAACCCUGAUCCAGCCAUGCCGCGUGAGUGAAGAAGGCCUUCGGGUUGUAAAGCUCUUUCAGCCGGGAAAAAACCGCAUGGGCUAAUACCCUGUGUGGAUGAUGGUACCGGAAUAAGAAGCACCGGCUAACUACGUGCCAGCCGCCGCCGUAA